rnacentral:rRNA from 1 species
GAUGAACGCUGGCGGCGUGCCUAAUACAUGCAAGUCGAGCGAACAGACGAGGAGCUUGCUCCUCUGACGUUAGCGGCGGACGGGUGAGUAACACGUGGAUAACCUACCUAUAAGACUGGGAUAACUUCGGGAAACCGGAGCUAAUACCGGAUAAUAUAUUGAACCGCAUGGUUCAAUAGUGAAAGACGGUUUUGCUGUCACUUAUAGAUGGAUCCGCGCCGCAUUAGCUAGUUGGUAAGGUAAGGGCUUACCAAGGCAACGAUGCGUAGCCGACCUGAGAGAGGUAUCGUCCAAGCUAGAACUAGGACAGGGACCGAGCACCUGAGGAAGAAAACGAGGGGAAACUGUCCGGAUAGGGAGAAAGCGUAACGAGGGAACCGCAUGGAAAUGAAGAAGGUCUUCGGAUGGAAAAAAUUUAUUAUUAGAAAAAAAAAAAUGGGAAAGUAAGUGUGAACCUUUAGACUGUACAUAAUAAGAAGAAAGCGGCAAACGACGU